rnacentral:piRNA from 1 species
UGAUUGGCCUUAGCAGAGAACGUGGCUGCA